rnacentral:rRNA from 1 species
UACAGAGGGUGCGAGCGUUAAUCGGAAUUACUGGGCGUAAAGCGCACGUAGUCGGCUUUGCAAGCCGGUUGUGAAAUCCCCGGGCUCAACCUGGGAACUGCAUCCGGGACUGCAUUGCUAGAGUAUGGGAGAGGGAAGCGGAAUUUCUGGUGUAGCAGUGAAAUGCGUAGAUAUCAGGAGGAACACCAGCGGCGAAGGCGCCGCUCUGGGCCGUAACUGACGCUGAGGAGCGAAAGCAUGGGUAGCAAACAGG